UACAGACCCCAGGUUAAAAAACCUUCACCAUACUGCUCAGCAAGAAUGUACCAAUUGAUGAUCUAAAGUUCCUCAGCAUAUAGCUCACUAGAGAAAAGAAGUCCUGGAAACAAAGGAAGUACCCAUCAACUAUGGAACGGCUGAAAAAAUUAAGUCCCUCCAUCCAUGUGCUGAAGCCUCCCACCCUCACCCCACAAAAAACAACAACAACAACAACCACCUCCAAGUGAAAGCAGAAGAGCACAUAAGCCCCCACCAGCUGGAGGCUUGGCUUAAAACCUAAGAGACAGCUUUGCCCCAUUCUGCCACCUGCCUGGGGGUCCAGGCCCUGCUCUGAUCAGUCUGUGCUCCAGUAGCACCCAUCUGCCCGCAUGUCACCCUCAUUCUGUCUGUGUCCAUGCCAGGCCCCCAGAUGUCUUCCAUCACCACCCCCCAAUUUAUUCUUCUUCUGGAUUCCAACCAGGUCCUCCAUUGCUGGCCUAGGCAUGUUCCUCCUGUUCUGGUUUCUGUCCCUGGCCCCCAUGUGUCCUUAAAGCAUCUGCUGGCCCCGUCCCUUCAUAGGGACAUAGCCCCACUCCUGCUUCCUUCCACGUCUAUAGCAAAUUCAUAUUACGUAAAAAUCUAGG